rnacentral:tRNA from 1 species
AGGUCAGUGACAGAGUGGCCGAUUGUUUGAGGUUUAAGAUACAGAGCGCUUUCCCUCACUCUCGAAAGAGACGCGCGGGUUCGAAUCCCGUCUGACCUA